UACGUACGAGGCGAGCGUUAUCCGGAAUUACUGGGCGUAAAGCGCGCGCAGGCGGACCAUUAAGUUGGGCAUGAAAUCUCCCGGCCUAACUGGGAGGGGUCGCCCAAGACUGGUGGUCUUGAGGACAGCAGAGGUGGGUGGAAUUCCUGGUGUAGUGGUGAAAUGCGUAGAGAUCAGGAGGAACACCGGUGGUGUAGACGGCUCUCUGGACCGUAACUGACGCUGAGGCACGAAAGCGUGGGUAGCAAACAGG
rnacentral:rRNA from 1 species